CCCCUAAUCCCUCGUGACCCCAUCAUCCUAAUCGCUCGCCUCGCCCAAGCCUCGCGCCGCGAGAUCCACUCCUCCACUGCUCUCUCAUCGCUACUUCGCCGGCCAACAACGCCCACUGCCGAGCAGCACCGCUGCCCACUAGUCCUCUCCACCGGUGCGAACCCCGGGCGACGUUGCACCAUCCGGGCAUUAGCAGGUCGAGCACCCCAUCCGCCACGGCGUCUCGUCCAUCGCCAGGCUCCCCCAUCGAUUGAAUCGGCUGCAUCCGGGGUUACACCGGGCGGCCGGAGAGCAGGCAUUUGCGUUGUAAAAUUCCGCCCUGUUUGAAGUGCCCCAUCUCCAAGGCAUGUGCACUUCGUCCAUCGCCCCAGAUUUGGGGAUUUGUAAAUUUUGCAACGGAAUGUUAUGUGUAAUUCAUCCAGCAGCUGGAUUAUAAUUGUUAUUUAUGUUCAUUGCCUGCCUAGCAUUGUCUUGAAAAUUCAUUUGUUUCAAUACUUCUCAGAGCUUCAAAUCAGUUUGACAAAUGCUGUGAAAUUUUUAUUUCAAUGCUUCGUGCAAUGCUUCAUGUAUACAGAGCUUCCAAGUGUACGUACCCACAAUUCGGUAAAUAUGUUUUGUUUUCACUUUAUAAAAUUUCAUGCUUCCACUUAAGACUAAAAUUGCACCCUUUGCAUUUUUUGCAGCUUCAUACACGAAUGCUUCUAAAUUGUUCCCUUUUUGAUACGCUCGUCUAGAAAAAUGCUUCCAUGCCACUGUCACCAACAGAUGCAUCCUCAUCAUGGCAUCAAGCUUACUAAUGCCAAUGUUAUCUGCCGCAUUAUUGAGUGAAUAUCACGUGAUUCCUACAUUAUUGAUGUCAUCAGUCAAAAAAUAUACAUACUUAGUUAUAAUGUAUUGCUUUCAUACAACUAAUUCCACCACACAGCGAAUCUAUCACUUUAUUCCUUCUAACACAAUUUUUUCAGAAAUGCUAACAUUACAUUCCAUAUGUUGUCAGGUGACACUUAACAAUGACUACAAAAGAGUCGUCCAUGUUUUUCAAAAAUCCAUGCUUCCAAGUAAUACCACUUAUAUGCUCAGGGCACUAUUUUCAUGCUUCCUAUUCAACGUGGCUAUUGGAUCACUAAACCAUCGACCAGUUUAUGUGAAUUUGGUGUGCACAUCACACAAAUAUGCAUCCCCGUGUUGGCCGCAAUAUUUUUUGUAACAUUUUCACAUUUCCAUGUUUCCAAGUAAUACUAGUUAUGUUUCCAUAGAAUCAUUUCCAUGCUUCAUACUUGCCUUGCUUCUUAAUUGUAGUAUAUAUGCUUCCGUGGAGCAGUGGCGGAGCUAGCGACAGAUGACUGAGGGGGCAAAUGACCAAAUAUAUUUUCUAAAAGGGUCAAAAACUACAUUUCUCUCAAUUUAUGGCACCCAA
rnacentral:lncRNA from 1 species